UCAUGUUUUGACUGGUAAAUUGUACUGGUUAGUUCACUGUUUGACCAAUAACACACCCCGAUAACAUGUCUCACGUUUUAGAUUUUAGAUACUGUUUAUUGCUGAAACAACUUAACUGCUGAGGGUACUUAUGUGGCGACCAUGAAGCUUUGGCAACUUUUCUGUUUUCUGCUUGUCAAUCCUCAAUCUCUGGUUGUAGUCAAUGGCUUUGCUUGCUACUAGUAGGAGUUUAUCAGUUUCCAUGAUUUUAAUAUUUUUCAGCCAAUACAUGGUAAUUUGAAAACUAUAGGUGAUGAAAGUACAUCUUCAGAAUGUGAAGAAAAGCAGGAUCUUCCAAAUUCUGGUCACUUAAAUGAGUCUGAUCGUGUAAAUAGCAUAAUUGAACAGCGUUUCCCUCAUCCAGGAGAACCUGUUUGUGUCAUGUGGGGUAAAUAUGGAGAAUAUAUAUGCGAUGAGACCGAUGAUGACAUAUGCAGCAUCGAGUGCAAAGCUGAUCAAUUGCAUGCUUUUAAUGUUGUUAAGGUGUCGUUGAGCAAUCAAAGGCCAGAUGUCUCCUCUGGACCCAUAUGUACCUUGCUGAUGCAUGAUUUUGGGGAGGACACUUGGGAUUACAAACAACAUCGCUGGUCCAAAAAGAGUUCCAUUUUUUCUACUUAUGAGUGGUAUAUAUUUUGUCAAACAUAUUUUUCCGUCUAAGUUUCUCUAGUGUAAAAAGUGACUGUAAAGUUGAGGCC